GGGCCCAACCUUGAUCCAGCCAUGCCGCGUGAGUGAAGAAGGCCUUCGGGUUGUAAAGCUCUUUCGGCGGGGAAGAAAUGGCAACGGCUAAUAUCCGUUGUUGAUGACGGUACCCGCAUAAGAAGCACCGGCUAACUACGUGCCAGCAGCCGCGGUAAUACGUAGGGUGCGAGCGUUAAUCGGAAUUACUGGGCGUAAAGCGUGCGCAGGCGGUUUCGUAAGACAGACGUGAAAUCCCCGGGCUCAACCUGGGAACUGCGUUUGUGACUGCGAGGCUAGAGUACGGCAGAGGGGGGUAGAAUUCCACGUGUAGCAGUGAAAUGCGUAGAGAUGUGGAGGAAUACCGAUGGCGAAGGCAGCCCCCUGGGUUAGUACUGACGCUCAUGCACGAAAGCGUGGGGAGCAAACAGGAUUAGAUACCCUGGUAGUCCACGCCCUAAACGAUGUCAACUAGGUGUUGGAAGGGUUAAACCUUUUAGUACCGCAGCUAACGCGUGAAGUUGACCGCCUGGGGAGUACGGCAGCAAGG
rnacentral:rRNA from 1 species